rnacentral:rRNA from 1 species
CUCCUACGGGAGGCUGCAGUGGGGAAUUUUGGACAAUGGGCGAAAGCCUGAUCCAGCCAUUCCGCGUGAGUGAAGAAGGCCUUCGGGUUGUAAAGCUCUUUCGGCAGGAACGAAACGGUGGGGGCUAAUAUCCUCUGCUAAUGACGGUACCUGAAGAAGAAGCACCGGCUAACUACGUGCCAGCAGCCGCGGUAAUACGUAGGGUGCGAGCGUUAAUCGGAAUUACUGGGCGUAAAGCGAGCGCAGGUGGUUGUUUAAGACAGAUGUGAAAUCCCCGGGCUUAACCUGGGAACUGCGUUUGUGACUGGACAGCUAGAGUGCGGCAGAGGGGGGUGGAAUUCCACGUGUAGCAGUGAAAUGCGUAGAGAUGUGGAGGAACACCGAUGGCGAAGGCAGCCCCCUGGGCCAGCACUGACGCUCAUGCACGAAAGCGUGGGGAGCAAACAGGAUUAGAUACCCUUGUAGUC